GUGGGGAAUCUUGCGCAAUGGGGGAAACCCUGACGCAGCGACGCCGCGUGGAGGAAGAAGGCCUUCGGGUUGUAAACUCCUUUGGCAGGGGACGAAGGAAGACGGUACCCUGAGAACAAGCCACGGCUAACUACGUGCCAGCAGCCGCGGUAAAACGUAGGUGGCUAGCGUUGUCCGGAAUUACUGGGCGUAAAGGGCGUGUAGGCGGGGGUGCAAGUCAGGUGUGAAAUACCGCGGCUUAACCGCGGGGGUGCAUCUGAAACUGUACCUCUUGAGUGCCGGAGAGGAAAGCGGAAUUCCCAGUGUAGCGGUGAAAUGCGUAGAGAUUGGGAGGAACACCAGUGGCGAAGGCGGCUUUCUGGACGGCAACUGACGCUGAGGCGCGAAAGCGUGGGGAGCAAACAGGAUUAGAAACCCUAGUAGUCC
rnacentral:rRNA from 1 species